GUUUCUGUAGCGCAAUCGGUUAGCGCGUUCGGCCGUUAACCGAAAAGUUGGUGGUUCAAUCCUUCGAAGGAACG
rfam:Nematostella vectensis strain CH2 x CH6 NEMVEscaffold_142_Cont15276, whole genome shotgun sequence.